GUGGGGAAUUUUGGACAAUGGGGGCAACCCUGAUCCAGCAAUGCCGCGUGCAGGAAGAAGGCCUUCGGGUUGUAAACUGCUUUUGUACGGAACGAAACGGUCCUGGUUAAUACCUGGGGCUAAUGACGGUACCGUAAGAAUAAGCACCGGCUAACUACGUGCCAGCAGCCGCGGUAAUACGUAGGGUGCAAGCGUUAAUCGGAAUUACUGGGCGUAACGCGUGCGCAGGCGGUUUUGUAAGACAGGCGUGAAAUCCCCGGGCUCAACCUGGGAAUGGCGCUUGUGAAUGCAAGGCUGGAGUGCGGCAGAGGGGGAUGGAAUUCCGCGUGUAGCAGUGAAAUGCGUAGAUAUGCGGAGGAACACCGAUGGCGAAGGCAAUCCCCUGGGCCUGCACUGACGCUCAUGCACGAAAGCGUGGGGAGCAAACAGGAUUAGAUACCCUGGUAGUCC
rnacentral:rRNA from 1 species